ensembl:lncRNA
CUUAAUCCCAUAAAUCUGUGGAGGGAGCUAAAGGGUAGAGUUGCCAAACGUCACCCUCGAAACCUCCGGAUCUUCUGAUUUAUGGUAACCCGACUGCUUCGAUGGAACAAUCCCACUACCUUAGAAGUGUCAACAAUUAUUGCUGUUAACACGUAACUGAAUACAAAGUUCCUGCUGUGUCUGGUGCACAAACUGCUGCGCCCUCAUUACUAAAACAGCUCACAGGUCUCAGUAAAAACACUCCUGUAAUCUUCUGUCAACACAACCAAAUUAUACAUAAAAUUCCCCCAAGAAAUACAGAGAAAAGACCAGAUGCAUUGCAGCAUCAAUAAUCAGUUGGGUGGUUGGUACUAGCCUGCCUAUCUGAACACAUACUAACUGAUUUAUAGCUAAUAUUGGUUACCAAAAACCAGACAUUCAAUAUGUGCUUUUAAAACUUAGCUGCUGCACAGAAGCAUCUGUAAGAACUUGGCAAAGAAGAAACCUCUUAAGUAUUUUAGCGAGUGUGAAUAGUUUGUAUGGUGGUAAUGUUUGAUUCAGUUCCAGAGAACUAAACUACCUCACCUUAUAGGGUGAGGCAAGAAAAACAAAUCUUAUGCUUUAAUAGAUUGCAAGCAAAUAGUAUGACAACCGCUUUUCUUUAUCACUUAGAUAUCCACAGAAUACAUUUAAUCAUCAGAUUGUUAUUUGCUGGAUGGAAAAUCAAGUGAAAUUUCUGACCCACACUUGAGAACAAACCUAUAUCAGCACCAAUAUAAACCUUGAAAGAGGAAAACAGACAUUCAACCAGUUUCAUUUUUCCUGUCAGAACACUGCCUCAACAUCCAGAGUUCCUCUGCGCUCAAGCUGUCCAUCUUCUGUCCAUCUUGUGUCCAUCCACACCCCAGCCAACCAGACAUGGGACUAACGAGUGAAGACAUGGAGUGCUGCGUCUGCCUCCAGUCCUACUCACGCAGGGACAAGACCCCUCGAAUGCUUCACUGCAAGCACACCUUCUGUGGGCAGUGUCUCCAGGCGUUAUCCAGGCUCCAGAGUGGCCUGCUGAUGGUGUGCUGCCCACUGUGUCGCUGGAUCACAUGUACCAGGGCCAGUCUCCCCAUCGCUGGAUCCCUGUGGGUAAACACAGACAUCUGGGACAGGAUAACAGAAAGACAAGAGGAGGAGGAGCAGAAGGAGAAGGAGGAGAACUUGUGGAUGACAGAAAACAAACAGACACAGACCUCUACCCAGUGUGUAUGUCCGUCAUCGAGGAAUCGUAGCCUGUGGUCCAAGCUCAGGACUUUCCUGAGGAAACUGAGGUUCCAGAAUUCAAGAACACGUCAUUAAUCUGUUGUGGACUUUUCUUAGGACCUUUUUCAAGAACAAAUGUAAGACAAAAACGUAGGAAGAUGUUGGCGAAUGAGGCCCAAUGAGCUCAAACACAAAAGCAUGGCUAUGGUAUUUUUUAAGGAAGGCUGAACUCGACAUAUUAACCAUUAAUAUUCAAAAUCAUGCCUUUUUGUUGUGUUGUCAUUAAGGGGUUGAGGAAAGUUUCAAACAAAAUAUAAUCUACUCACGUACUGUAUCUUUCCAUCUAUCUUGAAGAAUAUCUAAAACAUUUCCUCUCUUUUCUGAACUAAUGAUUGCACUUAUCUGUUGGAUAGAUGAAUAGAUGACUGAUUGUCGGGAAGGUGUGUCAUUAAGAGUGUUUGAUGGGUGGUGAAGAAAGGACGAAAUGCAAUGAAAGUAAGCGAUAAGAAGGCUACAAUGUGUGUUCAAAUCUAAACAUGGGAGGUUUAAAUAAUGAGAUACGUACUCUUUAAAUCAACCACACACAUCGAAACGCAAGUCUUAGUUGUUGAUGGGAUUGUGUAAGUAAAAAAAAAGGAUUAGCAAAGUUUUAAAGUACCUCUAUCAUCUAUCUACUGUAACCAUCCAUCUAAAAUAAGUCCUCCAUUUUGUGAAAUAAUACUUGCACUUAUAUUUUAGACAGAUGAACAGAUAAAUAGAUGACGGACAGGCAGGCAGGCAGGCAGAGAGGCAGGCAGACAGGCAGGCAGGCAGGCAGAGAGGCAGGCAGACAGGCAGGCAGGCAGACGGGCAGGCGUUUGACGAGUGGAUGAAUGAUACAGUUAGGGUGAAUUUGGGUAAUCUGGGAAACUUUUUGCAAUUUUGACUUCUGCGAUUUAUUCCGAUAUCUGUCUAACACGUUAGAUCAACACAUUAUACCUCUCUGAAAUCCCUAAGAGGUUUUCUGACCACACCAGAGGAAAUAAUGUAGAUAUUAUAGC